GGCAGGACCUUAAACGGACAGUUCAUGCUCGAAAACCCUGCAGUGUGAGCUAAUCUAAAGCAGGUCUACAAAGAAGAGUGGGCCAGAAUUCCAUCACAGCACUGUGAAACUGAUCUGCAGUUAUCGGAAGUGUUCGGUUGUAGUUAUUGCUGUUAAAGGUGGCACAACCAGAUUUUAAGUUUAAGGGGGCAGUUAGUUUUUCACAUGGGUGAAAGGUGUAACAGUAAGUCAGCUUCGGAUUGGGCCGUAUCACACCACACAGAUAUGGUUUAUUUUCCUAUGACAUAACCUACGAAUGAAUACGGCCUGUUAUUUAACAAAGAACGGCAUCUUAUCUUUGAUAUGGUGACGUUUUCUGUUAGGAGCCGUUUAUUUAACAUUUAUGGAGGAAGUCUGCAGUGUCAGUGUCACAGGGCCAUGGGGGAGCCUGGAGCCUGGAUGGGGUCAAUCACACAGACAUUCAUAUGCUACGGUAGCUAACUGCCACCAGCUGGCCCUGAGUAACCGUCAGGUCGCGGGGAGCAUGGAGCCUAUCCCAGGGAACUCGGGGCACGAGGAUGGGGACACCCUAGACGGGGUGCUAAACCAUCGCAGGGCACAAUCAUACACAUUCACGCACUACAGAUAAUCUGGAAAUGCCAAUCAGCCAACAAGUCAUGUUUUUGGACUGGGGGAGGAAACCGGAGUACCGAGAGGAAACCCCCAAACUGUCUGACUGACUGAGUCUCACUGUUGAAAUGCUAGGAGUCUAGCUAGCUGAACUUCAAUCAUUACCCUUAGCUAGCAUGCAGUAAACAAUACCAGGAACAUUCUGUGAUAUACAGUACAAUACACGCAUCUGCUGUGUUUGUUCGCAAACUAGCGUCAAAUAUUAUCGAAGCUAAUAACUUAUGUUAAUAGUUAAUAGACAAUUUAGUCCCUACAUACUGUAAAUGACUGCCUUGCUGCUCUUGA